GAUGAACGCUGGCGGCGUGCCUAAUACAUGCAAGUCGAGCGAACAGAUGAGGAUCUUGCUCCUCUGACGUUAGCGGCGGACGGGUGAGUAACACGUGGAUAACCUACCUAUAAUACUUGGAUAACUUCGGGAAACCGGAGCUAAUACCGGAUAAUAUAUUGAACCGCAUGGUUCAAUAGUGAAAGACGGUUUUGCUGUCACUUAUAGAUGGAUCCGCGCCGCAUUAUCUAGUUGGUAAGGUAACGGCUUACCAAGGCAACGAUGCGUAGCCGACCUGAGAGGGUGAUCGGCAACACUGGAACUGAGACACGGUCCAGACUCCUACGGGAGGCAGCAGUAGGGAAUCUUCCGCAAUAGGCGAAAGCCUGACGGAGCAACGCCGAGUGAGUGAUGAAGGUCUUCGGAUCGUAAAACUCUGUUAUUAGGGAAGAACAAAUGUGUAAGUAACUAUGCACGUCUUGACGGUACCUAAUCAGAAAGCCACGGCUAACUACGUG
rnacentral:rRNA from 1 species